UAAAAUCUUAAAUUAAAAUGAUGCUCAGUAUAUUAAUAAUCUACCUAAUAUUUGCCCACUUAAUGCAACUUGAGAGAUAUUUUUUUGGUUUGACAGUGUAUAUUGAAAUCUAUCUAGAAAAAAAAGUAUUAACUAACUUAAUUAAGGUGUCGCAGAUGAAUACAACAAAAUAAAAGCAGUACCGAUACCAAAAAAAAAAGAUUUAAUCAUAACACACCCAGACCCAGGGAGACCGAGUUAACGAUAAAAACAAUCAAAAAAAUAACGAGAAAAAAUGAGAAAAACCAUGAAAACCAUGAAUUUCACACCCUUGUGGUCCGGUACCAAACGACUCAUGGACCGGUACCGGUCCAUGGUUGGGGACCACUGAUGUAACAGAACUAGAAUGAUUUUUGGAACUGUGUACAUAAAUAUCUUAUGCUUAGCCUGUCCCACUCUUGUCUCACUUCACAGAUUUAUCCAUGUGACUGUACAGCUGUUGUCCAGCUUUGAUUGCCGUGUAAUCAGCAGUGGUGACACAGGGUAACCCUUCUUUAGGUGCAGGGAUAGCUCAGUAGGUAGAGUGGUCGCCCCAUGAUUGGAAGUUCAGGGGUUCGAAUCCACUGAACGGCUACCCUGCGGUAACUCUAAGCAAGAUGGAAAUACCUGUUAAGGAGCAGCUACUGCACAUUCUGGAGAAUCUGGGAGAGGUGGAGCUAAAGCAUUUCCACUGGUACCUUCAGAAUGCAACAAAAGGUGAUUUUCCAUCCAUCAAAAAGUGCCAUCUGGAGAACGCAGACAGACUGAAAACUGUAGAUUUAAUGGUGCAGACAUAUACUACUGACCAUGUCAUUGAAGUAGCAAGGACAACUUUAAAGAACAUGAAUAAAGGAAAUUCCUCAGCCCAGGCAUAUUUAUCACUUUCAUCACAAGGUAAGUAUUCAGUGGUUUGUGUAAGGGAUCAGUGGUAAGCGAGGGGACGUUGUAGCCUCAGUGUGCAUUAAUUUAGAAGGUCAACAUCAGCUAUAGUUAAGCUGCGCCUACAACUCCAAAACAUCAUCAAAGGUUAGAUACACCUUCUCGUUCAAUGUUUGUCUUUUUUUUUUUUUUUACUAUUUUCUACAUUGUACAUACAUACUGAAGACAUCAAAUACAUGAAACAAGAUAUCUGGAAUUAUAUAGAAAAGAAAAAAUUGAUAAAGAAUUCUAUGUCUUAUGUUUUAGAUUCCUCAAAGUAGCCACCCCUUGCUUUGUUGACAGCGCUACAAACUCUUGGCCUCAGUUUUAUGAUGUAGUCAGUAUUUCUUGCCUUCUUAAUGGGGUUGGGACUGUCAAUUGUGGUGUUGCAGAGGUCAGGUUGGUACACAGCUGACAACUGUUAGAAUUCAUACUUUGGCAAGAACCAAUCAGCUAAGUGAAGAGAAAUGACAGUCCAUCAUUACAUUAAGAAGUGAAGGUCAGUCAGUUCAGAGAAUUGAUAUAACAUUGAAUGUGUCCUGAGUACAGUCGCAAAAACUGUCAAGGGCUACGACAAGACUGGCUCAAAUGAGGACCGCUCCAGGAAAGGGAGACCAAGAGUCACCUGUGCUGCUGAGGAUAAAUUCAUCUGAGUCACCAGCCUC
ensembl:lncRNA